rnacentral:rRNA from 1 species
GCCUACGGGGGGCAGCAGUAGGGAAUCUUCCACAAUGGGCGAAAGCCUGAUGGAGCAACGCCGCGUGGGUGAAGAAGGUCUUCGGAUCGUAAAACCCUGUUGUUAGAGAAGAAAGUGCGUGAGAGUAACUGUUCACGUUUCGACGGUAUCUAACCAGAAAGCCACGACUAACUACGUGCCAGCAGCCGCGGUAAUACGUAGGUGGCAAGCGUUAUCCGGAUUUAUUGGGCGUAAAGGGAACGCAAGCGGUCUUUUAAGUCUGAUGUGAAAGCCUUCGGCUUAACCGGAGUAGUGCAUUGGAAACU